UGGAGCCACUUCCUGCUUGGCUUCGCUAAGGAGAUCCAGAUGUGUUCUUUGAAUAGAAGCAGCAGGCAGCUUGCUGUAAACAACUCCAAGCCUUCAUUGAAAAAGCAUGAUUUGCCAAUGCAGUAGCCUGACUCGAAGGUUUUAGCGAAGCCCAGGCUUCAAGAAACCGUCCUCUGAGCAACCAAAGAAGCCAAUCUGGGCCCCCAGAUUGCACUAUGCGAGACAGAAAGCCUCCCAGAGCGGUUUCCUGAUCAAUAACUAGGAGACAGUACUCAAACUUGAAGUCUAAAAAGACACAACACAGAAGGAGAAAAUGGGGAGAAGUGGAGGAAGAAAAAAGAAAACAAGAAAAGACGAGCACCAAUUCUUGAUGUUUUAAGAUACUUGCAAUGACCAGCCAUGACGGAAGUGAGCUGCUCCCAAACCAAACUCCUCAGUAUUUAUAAUAUGUAGCCAUUACAUGAAGGCAAUCAAGCACAAACUCUUUCUUAAUUCUUCAUAUUUUAUAGUGUGUUUUUGUUUUUUCCCUGAGCUUUUGAGAUGAGAACUGUUAAUGAAUAUACCAAGUAGCAUACUUUUGGUUUUGCUAUCAGGCAAUGUAAGUCAUUAUGUGAGGGGGCAGAAUACUUGUAUAAUGAUAUAAGUUGAACAGCGUAUGAAAUUUCAGAAAAAUAUUUUACGUGGCAAGUUGCCCUAAUAGUGUAAGCACGCAUACCUCUCUAAGAAAGCUAUACUUCAGAAUGGAUAACGGAGAACUUCUAUAGAUAGGGCAGCAUGUGUUAUUAAGAACCCAGCAAGCAAAAGAGGAGUUUGUGGCACAUCUCCAUUAUAAAUGGAAUUAUCUGAGAGGCUGUUACAACAUUGGAGUUCACCCUUAGAAAUUCAGGCAUUAUUUUCUGAGAUACUGAGAAUUCUUGGUUAGAAAACUUCUUAGAGGCAGCCAGAAAAACAUAUUUGAAAUUGCUGUGACUUUUCUGGAUUGUAUGGCCAUUUCCAGAAGCAUUCUCUCCUGAUGUUUUGCCUGCACCUAUGGCAGCAGGCAUCCUCAGAGGUUGUGAGGUCUUUUGAAAACUAGGCAAGUGGGGUUUAUAUAUCUGUAGAAGGUCCAGAGUGGGAGAAAGAAUUCUUGUCUGUUUGAGGCAAAUGUGAAUGUUACAAUUAAUCACCUUGAUUAGCAUUGAAAGUUUUGCAGCUUCAAAGCCUGCCUGGGGGAAGCCUUUGUUGGGAGGUGUUAGCUGGCCCUGAUUGUUUCUUGUCUGGAAUUCCCCAGUUUUUUUAACAAUGUUAUUUAUUUACUGUCUUUUUUAAAGAGUUUUUUUUAAAAAAAAAAACACUGGUAGCCAAAUUUUGUUCAUUUUCAUGGUUUUCUCCUUUCUGUUGAAAUUGUCCACAGGCUUAUGGAUUUCAAUUGCUUCUCUAUGUAGUCUGACAUGGUGGUUGUUAGAGUGGUCCAGCAUUUCUGGGUCCUCAGAUAACAUGCUGAGUCCAGGUUGGUUCAUCAAGGGCUCUGCUAUGGCUGACUUCUCUAGUUGAGCUAAUCUGCAGUGCCUUUCAUGUCCUUGAUUCAUGUUUGGGCACUGUCUUUGGUGGUCCGGAGGCACCACUGGCUCCCCAUGGAAUGAAAGGUCCUAAUGAUGCCGUGGCUGAAUCUAUGAUCCUUCCAUAUGUCUGCAUCUUGUCUGCAGUGUGUAUAAUGCACCUAUGUUGUAUAAUGUAAGUAUGUGACUCUAACCCCUAGGCAAAAAACUCUGCUGCUUCUGAGUAAGCAGAUCCUGGAAGCAUGUUCUGUAUUACAGUAGAUUCUCACUUAUCCAACAUAAACGGGCCGGCAGAAUGUUGAAUAAGUGAAUAUGUUGGAUAAUAAGGAGAGAUUAAGAAAAAGCCUAUUAAACAUCAAAAUAGAUUAUGAUUUUACAAAUUAAGCACCAAAACAUCAUGUUAUACAACAAAUUUGACAGAAAAAGUAGUUCAAUACGCAGUAAUGUUAUGUUAUAAUUACUGUAUUUAUGAAUUUAGCACCAAAAUAUCAUGAUAUAUUGAAAACAUUGACUACAAAAAUGGCUUGGAUUAUCCAGAGGCUUGGAUAAGCGGGGCUUGGAUAAGUGAGACUCUACUGUACUUGAAAUACAGUGAUGGACUCCCCCAACUGUUAUGGCCAGUUAAUAUGCCAGUGAGGCAUUCUGUUUUCUGUGGUGAAAAAAGUAAAUUUCUAACAUCUAAAAUUAA